rnacentral:rRNA from 1 species
GAUGAACGCUGGCGGCGUGCCUAAUACAUGCAAGUCGAGCGAACGGACGAGAAGCUUGCUUCUCUGGUGUUAGCGGCGGACGGGUGAGUAACACGUGGAUAACCUACCUAUAAGACUGGGAUAACUUCGGGAAACCGGAGCUAAUACCGGAUAAUAUUUUGAACCGCAUGGUUCAAAAGUGAAAGACGGUCUUGCUGUCACUUAUAGAUGGAUCCGCGCUGCAUUAGCUAGUUGGUAAGGUAACGGCUUACCAAGGCAACGAUGCAUAGCCGACCUGAGAGGGUGAUCGGCCACACUGGAACUGAGACACGGUCCAGACUCCUACGGGAGGCAGCAGUGGGGAAUCUUCCGCAAUGGGCGAAAGCCUGACGGAGCAACGCCGCGUGAGUGAUGAAGGUCUUCGGAUCGUAAAACUCUGUUAUUAGGGAAGAACAUAUGUGUAAGUAACUGUGCACAUCUUGACGGUACCUAAUCAGAAAGCCACGGCUAACUACGUG